UACGAGGGGGGCGAGCGUUGUUCGGAAUUAUUGGGCGUAAAGGGUGCGUAGGCGGCCUGACAAGUCUGAUGUGAAAUCCCUGGGCUCAACCCAGGGCCUGCAUCGGAAACUGUCGGGCUUGAGUAUGGGAGAGGUGAGUGGAAUUUCCGGUGUAGCGGUGAAAUGCGUAGAUAUCGGAAGGAACACCUGUGGCGAAAGCGGCUCGCUGGGACGGUACUGACGCUGAGACGCGAAAGCGUGGGGAGCAAACAGG
rnacentral:rRNA from 1 species